rnacentral:lncRNA from 12 species
GUGGGAUUUCACCCCCACGAUCUUGAUUUACAUCAAACCGAGGCAAAUGUAUGAAUUUUAUGACAGGAAUUUGUGGGUUGCAUGGAGGGAUGUGCCAAUAAGAGGAUGCAACAUUCCAGCUAAGAAUCAGUAAUUCCUGAUGACAAUUACCUGUCAAGGGGAAAAGGAGUAAUAGAGUAAUAAGUUUAGAAACGUCACAAAUUAAUAAAUCAUAAUAUUAGUAACUCUAAGCGUGUGAUGAGCUGUGAUUACACCUACAAUGUGGGCUGCCAGCGAGAUACACGAAUAAAAUAUUUCAAUUCAUUGUCUUUGAAAAGUUCCUAUUAGUGUUUUCCAAAGGAGCUUUCCAAUCUGUCAGGUUCAUCUAAGACGACUCAGAAGUUGAUUUUUAUGCUGCUAUAAAUGGUUAUUAUAGUUGUCAUAAACUCAGAAACAUAAUAUGCUAGAUACUAUAACAGCAAGGGUCUCAAUUAACAUGCUCCAUGCCUGAUUUUAAAUAAACGUCAGUUUCUAUAUCAUUAAUUUUUCCUUUGAUUUUUUUUUCCUCUAAGAAAAAAACCCAGGAGUACAUGUGACAAUGCAGUAAUGCAUAUUUUCAAAUAUCAAAAUAAAAUAUGGCCUAGCUGGAUCUGACAUAGUGCACAAAUGAAUUCAGAGGCAAUUAAAUGGAAUUUCAACACUCCGUAUAAAAAGGACUUGAGCAGGAAAUGCGGACCAUGAACACCUCAUCACCCAAGUCAUGCUGCAACCCCUCCUGCCCCUUCCAGUUGAAACCAUGUGGAAGACACACGUGAGACAUGGCCUCCUGUUUAUCUUCCAACUUUCAGCUUCGGUCCCUGGACACGGACAUAAUCAAGCCUCCUCCUUCCCCUUGGGUUGGGGAGGGGGCAAGCAGUUCAUAUGUCACUUUAUUUUUCUUUCGUGUUAUAAUCCCAUUGUGUGUGAACAACGACUUCUUAACAACACAUUUCGCACAUGGACUCUGCAUCCGGAUUUAGAUGAUUUGUGCAGAAAUACCUUUCCUUCUGCCCUUGCCAUCUGUCUGACUUGAAAAAGCCUUCUCUGAGGCUCCAUCCUGAGCCAGGCACAGCUCUGCCUUCGCUUGGGGCUCACCCCUCCUCCUAACUACCUGGGAAGGUGCACGCGGUAGGCUUCCAGGACGGCCACCUGCACACCUGCCUCGUCCCUGUGCCUGGACGGGCCCUGUGCUGGGUUGUUUAACACACUCACGUCACUGCCUGGACAUUCCUGAUCAUUUCCAUCCAUUGGGGGCCUUGCGUUUUCCUGUCACACUGGGCCCUGAAUAUCAUGACAUUGGUGCUGAAGAAAUGUGCUUUGAUCCCAGUUUUACAGAUGGAGAAAGCGAGGCCCGUUGAGACCUGGAGAGCCCCAGAGCGUCUCUUGAGAGGGCAGAGCCAGGGAGUGGCUGAGAUGGGCUGUCAGGACUGUCACCUCUGAGGCUUCUGCUCGCAACCCCCUGCUACCGAGGUGGUCACACCGUGCCCAUAUCCCCCUGGUGGUGCAGCCCUCAGUCCCUGUGCUACUGCCCUGUGACAAGCGUCUCAGCCGGGAGGGCCGGCUCUCCAGGGGCUGCAGGGACAGCACAGCCACCUGGUGCUUCUCAAUUGAAGCCUCAUUUCCUCCCGGUGACCUUGGACUGGCCGUGCCUGCCGUGCAGGGCCCAAUGGCCGAGGGCUGGGACAGGGCCUGAUGGCCAACAACGCUGGCACACGCUUCCAAAGCCACGACUCUGUACAGGGCCACUCUGGCCCCCGUGCAUGAGCAUCUGGUGUGGAACGAGGCGUCCUGCCCACCCGCGCCCUCGCCUGCGCCCUGGGCCUGGCGAGCUGGGCCGUGACACAGCCGUGAUGUCACCGCACGGGCAGCCCGGCCGCGGCCCUGUCACCAUAGCACAACAAUGAUGCUAUUUUCCUCUCAAGCUGGAAGCUCUUUUUCUCAAAGCAAAAUAAAAGGUCCGAGGCCUCCCUGCCUUUGUUUCUU